UACGUAGGGUGCGAGCGUUGUCCGGAAUUAUUGGGCGUAAAGGGCUCGUAGGCGGUUUGUCGCGUCGGGAGUGAAAACCUUGGGCUUAACUCAGGGCUUGCUUUCGAUACGGGCAGACUAGAGGUAUGCAGGGGAGAACGGAAUUCCUGGUGUAGCGGUGAAAUGCGCAGAUAUCGGGAGGAACACCAGUAGCGAAGGCGGCACUCUGGGCCGGUACUGACGCUGAGGAGCGAAAGCGUGGGGAGCGAACAGG
rnacentral:rRNA from 1 species